UACGAAGGGGGCUAGCGUUGUUCGGAUUUACUGGGCGUAAAGCGCACGUAGGCGGAUCGUUAAGUCGAGGGUGAAAAUCCUGGAGCUCAACUCCAGAACUGCCUUCGAUACUGGCUUUCUAGAGGCUGGAAGAGGUUAGUGGAAUUCCCAGUGUAGAGGUGAAAUUCGUAGAUAUUGGGGAAGAACACCAGUGGCGAAGGCGGCUAACUGGUC
rnacentral:rRNA from 1 species